rnacentral:rRNA from 1 species
UACGUAGGGGGCAAGCGUUGUCCGGAUUUAUUGGGCGUAAAGAGCGUGUAGGCGGCCCGGUAAGUCCGCUGUGAAAGUCAAAGGCUCAACCUUUGAAUGUCAGCGGAUACUGCCGGGCUAGAGUCCGGAAGAGGCGAGUGGAACUCCUGGUGUAGCGGUGGAAUGCGCAGAUAUCAGGAAGAACACCAACGGCGAAGGCAGCUCGCUGGGACGGAACUGACGCUAAGGCGCGAAAGCGUGGGGAGCGAACAGG